GUCUCGGUCCGGCGUCAGUGGGUUAUCGUAUUUCUCUCCCUUCGGGGAAUUUCCCAUCGGCAUCAACUUGACCGUUGCG
rnacentral:sRNA from 15 species